AAUUUCAUUCACACUACACAUAUAAAAUAACCAGAUAAUUAGAACAAUGUUUGUGCUUCAAUGGUAUUUUAUAUAGGGGGCUAAUGCCCGUUUUCACCAACAACCUCUUACCGUUUCCCUAUCUAAAUGCUACUUUUAGUAAGGACCCCUCCCAAUUUGACACCUACCUAAAUUCAUUUUCACCACACUUUUACAUGGAUCCCUUAAGUAAGUGACAGAUUACUAGUUCUACAAACGAUAAUGCAAAGUCGAUAUUUUAUCGAUAAAAUGAUUUUUCUCUACUUCUUAAGAAAUAAACGUCUAUCGAGUAUAUGUUACUAAAGCCUGUGAGUUUUUUUUCUUGUGAUGUUAUUUUAAUUUAAUUUAAACUACAUUACGCUAUGUUUUUAUGCAAUAAAACAGUAAAGAGGUUUUCUAUAGGAGAAUUUUUACCUAUGUCAUUCGCGCGUUUGUCAAAUUGACUGAUGUGUAUAUGUGUACAUUGAGUGAGGUUAAUUUUGGGUUUAUUAUUGUUGAAUAGAUAAGUUUAUUUUGGCAGAGAAGAGAAAACGAGGAUAAACCUUUCUUGCAGAAGAAAAAGACAAGCCAGUGAAAUUGCUGACGUCUCAUAGAGACACAAUAUUAAACAAAAAACGGAUGGGACCACGAACGAAGCCAAAAACAAAGCUUGGAUCCAGUUACAAAUAGUUUUAAUGCGAUAGGAACCGUUUACAGUUUCAGGUGGUGCGAGAAAUUGGAAAGACGUGUAAAAACAUGCUGCGCCCAGCCCACCUCAAAUUGAAUUGGUGCAGGAGGAUGAUGAUAAUGUUUGGUACAUCAUAUGAGGACUAAUAUUAAAAUAUUUGUUUACUA
rnacentral:lncRNA from 1 species